rnacentral:rRNA from 1 species
GACGAACGCUGGCGGCGUGCUUAACACAUGCAAGUCGAACGGAAAGGCCCUGCUUGUGUGGGGUUCUCGAGUGGCGAACGGGUGAGUAACACGUGAGUAACCUGCCCUUGACUUUGGGAUAACUUCAGGAAACUGGGGCUAAUACCGGAUAGGAGCUCCUGCUGCAUGGGGGUGUUUGGAAAGUUUCGGCGGUUGGGGAUGGACUCGCGGCUUAUCAGCUUGUUGGUUGGGUAGUGGCUUACCAAGGCUUUGACGGGUAGCCGGCCUGAGAGGGUGAACGGCCACAUUGGGACUGAGAUACGGACCAGACUCCUACGGGAGGCAGCAGUGGGGAAUAUUGCACAAUGGGCGGAAGCCUGAUGCAGAAACGCCGCGUGCGGGAUGACGGCCUUCGGGUUGUAAACCGCUUUAGCCUGUGACGAAGCGUGAGUGACGGUAAUGGGUAAAGAAGCACCGGCUAACUACGUG